rnacentral:rRNA from 1 species
CUGAUUAGAAGCUUGCUUCUAUGACGUUAGCGGCGGACGGGUGAGUAACACGUGGGCAACCUGCCUGUAAGACUGGGAUAACUUCGGGAAACCGAAGCUAAUACCGGAUAGGAUCUUCUCCUUCAUGGGAGAUGAUUGAAAGAUGGUUUCGGCUAUCACUUACAGAUGGGCCCGCGGUGCAUUAGCUAGUUGGUGAGGUAACGGCUCACCAAGGCAACGAUGCAUAGCCGACCUGAGAGGGUGAUCGGCCACACUGGGACUGAGACACGGCCCAGACUCCUACGGGAGGCAGCAGUAGGGAAUCUUCCGCAAUGGACGAAAGUCUGACGGAGCAACGCCGCGUGAGUGAUGAAGGCUUUCGGGUCGUAAAACUCUGUUGUUAGGGAAGAACAAGUACAAGAGUAACUGCUUGUACCUUGACGGUACCUAACCAGAAAGCCACGGCUAACUACGUGCCAGCAGCCGCGGUAAUACGUAGGUGGCAAGCGUUAUCCGGAAUUAUUGGGCGUAAAGCGCGCGCAGGCGGUUUCUUAAGUCUGAUGUGAAAGCCCACGGCUCAACCGUGGAGGGUCAUUGGAAACUGGGGAACUUGAGUGCAGAAGAGAAAAGCGGAAUUCCACGUGUAGCGGUGAAAUGCGUAGAGAUGUGGAGGAACACCAGUGGCGAA